UCUUGCUGGGGCCAGUGUUAGCAGUACUCCCGGCUUGAACCCUGUGAGCUCACCUACAGUAUAGUACGUUACGGUGAAGCUUAAAUAGCCUCAAGGCAAUCAACAUAGGUAGGAGAAAAAAAAAAAAGACUUGUUUUUUGGUUGAAGAGGUCAUUCACAUAACGGUCAUCAAUAGUACUGAAAUCCACCAUUAAAUGCUUUCAAGUUUUUAUUUUUUGUUAUUGCUUAUGUGAGUGGACGAGCUCACGGCCCACCUGAUGUUAAGUAGUCACCGGAACCCAUAGACGUCUACAACAUAAAUGCCGCCACCUACCUUGAGACAUCAGUUCUAAGGUCUCAGUUUUUACAGUACCUACCUACAACGACUGCCCCACCCUUCAAACCGAAACGCAUUACUGCUUCACGGCAGAAAUAGACGGUGGUGGUGCCCACUCGUGUGGACUCGCAAGACGUCCUACCACCAAUAAACACGCAAAUUAUAAUUUUGCCGGAUUGAUUUUUAUUACACGAUGUUAUUCCUUCGUCGUGGAAAUCAAUCGUGAACAUUUGAUAGUACGUAUUUCAUUAGAAAAAUUGGUACUCGCCUGCGGGAUUCGAACACCGGUGCAUCGCUCGAUACGAAUGCACCGGACGUCUUAUCCUUCGUCGUCUUAUGACUUCAAAACUUCGACGUCAGCCUAGUUGUAGCAAGCGGAAAAAAUACGUACAGGUCUCUUUCAUACGUUGUCAUGUUUUUAAUGUAAUUUUUUGGUAACCAUAGCAUUAACAAGUAGUAUCUAUUUAUGGAGAAUAUUGUCAUUUAAUUUUGUUAUUACAGUCUAUUUUUACACUAAACAUGAGUUUUUGUGUUGAUUUAGUUUCAGAAGAUUCUUUUUAUGAAAAUAUUACUUUGGGCGUAACUAAACUACUAGAGUCAGAUCCACGAAUUUGUAAUGUAAGCGUGGAACGUCGUGCACCUUGUGAUAGAGUAGCACUGUCUAAUUGGGAACAAAGACAUUCCGCUGUACUACCCGAAGAUCUUAGGAACUUCUAUGGGUCAAGUGACGGUUUUCAGCUAACUUGGCACUACAACCGAUGAGAUUUUACCGGUGGGUUCGAUUCGAGUUAAUACAUUGAACGAGCUGUGUCUGUCGUCAUCACUGAAAGAUCUUUUAGACUUUUCAAUGACACGACAAAACACUGGUCCGAGACCUGUUUUAAAUACGAAAAGCAAAGUUUUUGAAUUAGAUAUCUGCAGAUACAUCGGCAAGGUGUGUUUAGUUUAUACGGGCGGAUCAUGGUCUAUAUGGUUGGCAACUCGCGAAGGCGCUUGGGGCUGGUUGGCAGAUUCAUUCACGCACUAUUUUAGAAUGGCUCUCGUGCAUCUGGGGCUACCAGGGUGGCAGGCAGCUUUCGCUAAUUUGCCAAUGAUCCCAUGGGCUGAACAACUUUUCUUGUUACUAGCACCACACCUGCUUGAAAAAGCGGAUAGUGAAAAUAAUUCGGCGUCUGUCAAUAACGAGACGGGUUUGAACCACAUCGAUCCGAAUAUAUUUAAAACAUCUGCCCGUCACCACAAGAAUGCAACACGUCACAACGUAACGUAGAUAAAAUGAAUAGAAAGGAAUUAAAACAUGCUUUACUCCAAAUAGCUUGCAUUUAUUACAUAAAAUAAGUGUGUUUAGUUUAUACGGGCGGAUCAUGGUCUAUAUGGUUGGCAACUCGCGAAGGCGCUUGGGGCUGGUUGGCAGAUUCAUUCACGCACUAUUUUAGAAUGGCUCUCGUGCAUCUGGGGCUACCAGGGUGGCAGGCAGCUUUCGCUAAUUUGCCAAUGAUCCCAUGGGCUGAACAACUUUUCUUGUUACUAGCACCACACCUGCUUGAAAAAGCGGAUAGUGAAAAUAAUUCGGCGUCUGUCAAUAACGAGACGGGUUUGAACCACAUCGAUCCGAAUAUAUUUAAAACAUCUGCCCGUCACCACAAGAAUGCAACACGUCACAACGUAACGUAGAUAAAAUGAAUAGAAAGGAAUUAAAACAUGCUUUACUCCAAAUAGCUUGCAUUUAUUACAUAAAAUAAGUAAGAAAAAUAAAAGAUCACAUAAUGCUAAAUUGGGAAAAAAAUACAAAACAUUUAUAAUUAUAUUAUAAUAUUAAAAGAAAAUGGACGGAAUGUAAACACUAAAUUAAAUCUAAAAUUAAUAAAUCUUAAGCCGAGACAAAAUAAUCGGCACCAUAAUAAUAACAUUAAAGAGUGAAUGACUGCAAAUUCUACAAAACCUUUAAUAUAAAUAAAUAAAAAUUGAAAUAAACGUGUGAUUAUUGUGAUGUGAAUUAUUAACAAUAUAAAUCAAUCGGAAAUACAUCGUAAUAGUUAUUUCUAAAAUAAAACUAUCGAUUUCUCUCCACCGUUGAUACAGACUUUAUAAAAACAGUUAUAUUAAAUUGCAAAUAAACUAUGAUAACAUUUUUAAUUGCCACUUUAUAUCCAAAAUCAAAGCGUGUUCUUUUUUAAAUGCAACAUGCUUCUUACAAAAACUGUUAAAAAUCUAUAUUUUUAACAGUUUUUAUUUGUCAUAGCCUAUGCUAUGACAAUUAUACAAUCGUUCAUUCAUUAUUCCUAACAUCCUAAAUCUAAUCAUUUUCUCAUCUCUGUGAAGGUGGGACUUUCUCUUUGCAAAAUAAUAUGAUAUUAUAAUUUCAAGAGUGAGAUUUAGUUUACGAGAGAUUCACGAGAGAGAUUAAAGAGUUUAACAAAAGAAGCUCGCUCUGCUUAAGAUAGCUGUAAUCACAUUUUUUUUGUAUGGAAUGACUCGUUUUAUCCCAAGAUUGCGUUGCGAAGCUUAUGUGGCACGUUCUGUCAAUACUUAACAAUACUUAUAUUAUUGUAUAAUAUGAUAUUUUUUAUAAUUAUUGUACACUUGAUAAUACUUUUCAUGUUGUUUUAUACACAUGCGUGUGUUUAAAUAAAUCCAGUAGUACCUGUGAUGUCUCGUUCCUUAUAUUUAGGUUACAUAAAUGAUAUACAUAAUAAAGGUGAUGUCAAUUGAAAGCAGUUAGCAGCUUUGUGCUAUUUUUUUUUAAUUUCAAAUCGAAUGCUUUAAUUUACUAAAAUACAAUUUAUUAAUGAAAUUUUGUAAAAAGUAAGUUUUAUUGCAAUAUAAAGAUUAUUUUUAAACAUGGUAA